GCCGAAGUCAAGGCAGCAUUGCCGCUGAGCGGCGAUUCCUCUGCAAUUUUCGAUGGCCAAGAAAGUGUUUCUCUACGCCUCCUCUGAACCAGGUGUGGUGGAUUAAUCAAACAUUCACAAGGGGUAUUUAGAGGGUAGUCAAUCUAUUCCUAAAAUUUCUAACCUUCCUUCUAAAAUACUUAAACAUUUUCCUAAAUCAUUUUUCUAAAUUUAUUUUUAAAAUCCUAAAUCAUAAAUAUAAUUACUCAUACAAUGAUUGGGCUUAACCCUAUUGGGCUAGUGAUGACAUUUUAACACUCCCCUUAGCACUAGUCAUAAUUCGUUGCACCAUGUUGAGCUGACAACGAAAACUCAUAUGUUUGCCAAUAUUUAGUCAUUUUGUAAACAAGUCUGCCACUUGAUCAUCUGUCUUGAUCUGCUUCAUCUCGAUUUCUUCCUUCAAGUCUUUCUCUCUAAUGAAAUGGUAGUGUACCUCCCCAUACUUUGUUCUAGCAUGAAGCAUCGGAUUUUCUGUUAGAUGAAUUGCAGAUUGGUUGUCGCAAUGAAGUGGUAUUGGAUAAUCAUUUUUUGGUGCCAAUCUUCCAUCAAGAGUUUCAACAAUAUACUUUCCUGAGCUGCUUCAGUUGCUACUUUGUACUCUGUUUCUUUGAUACUUGACCUUUGAGAAUUGUGAUACCGUUUGACAUAUCUCAAGGUCUGUCGGGCCGCAUCCAAAUGAGGCUUCUUUAGACUUCGCAUAUACUGACUAAUGACCCCAACUUCAUUUUCGAAUCCAUUUGGUUGGUUCAUGUAGAUCUCUUGGUCCAAUUCUCCAUGCAAGAAAAUAUUCUUUAUAUCCAUCUGCCAAAAUUUCCAUUCUUUAUUAACAAGUGCUGGAGGAACCUGUAUGAUAGUGAUCUUCGCCACUGGACUAAACAUUUCAUCAUAGUCUAGUCCAUAUUGUUGACAAAACCCUCGAGCUACAGGUCGAGUCUUGUAUUUUGAUUGAUCCAUCCGAGAGACACGUUAUUUCGUAAGCCCACUUGCAAGAGAUGAGUUUGUUAUCUCUUGGUCUUGGCAUUGAUUCCCAAGUUUGAUUUUGUUACAAGGCUAUAAUUUCUUCCUCCAUCGCUUUUUGCCAAGUUGAGUUUUGUGAUGCUUCUUCAUAUGUCUCCGGCUCAUGAACUUCGUCUUCUACUGCGUUGGCAUACUUUGGAUUUGGCUUUAGGAUUAUUUCUGAAUGUCUGAGUUGUUGAGGUGUCAUUUCAUUUUCACUAGGUUUGCUUGGUUGAGUCACUUCUUGCUCACCAACACUAGUGUCACUUGAAUUUUCAGGCACAUCAGCACUUAAGCAAAUGUGUACAGUUUGCUCCCCCAUCUUCUGUGGAAGAAUUUCUUCAAUUUGCUCAAGGUUUGGUAAUACUUCCCUCUCUGAGGGCCACUCAUCUUCCAUUGCACCACUUUGAUCAUCAAUCAUGUGGUUUGAACAUCCUAAAUCAAUGAUCCAAUAAUUCUCAUAAUGGUCUCCCAUUAUCGCCAUGAGUACUAGCUCAUCUUCUUCUAUGGCAUAGAGUACCUCUGCAUCCCAUUCCUCCUCCAUCUCCAUGUUGGAGGAUGCCACAUUGCUUUCAACCGAAUUUUUCUUGGACCAACAAUCUUUGAACAUGUGGCCCUUCUUCCCACAAUUGUAGCAGAUGCCUUCAAAUCUCUUCCCUUGAGAGUUAUUCUAAUCGUUCUCCUGAGCUCUUUCUGGUUGUACAGUUCUUUGGUGACUUCUUCUUUUGUCACCAUUGUAUCCACGUUUGGGAGACGACUUAUUAUUGCUUCGACUUUCACUUGUGUAGAGUGCUUCUUCUUCACCCUUCAAUGUGAUGCCUCCUAUUUGUUUAGCCAUGGCUUCUUGGCUGGCUAACAAGUUUUCGAACUCUACAAGUGAUAGUUGAGUGAACCAUCCUUGUACAACAAUAAUGAAGCUUCGAUAUUCUGGUCGCAAUCCAUGGAUUAUGAUCCUCUUCAUUCAAGAUUCUACAAUAGCGGACUUCGGGUCUAGUUCAGUAAUCUCCCAACAAAUUGAGUGAACCAUCCAUGGAUUGUGAAAAUACUGAGCAAUCUUCAUGUCACAUUGUAAAAUUGACAACAACUCAUUCUCCAAAAGUUGUAGCCUCAUAUUAUUCUUCUUCGAGAACAAUAUCAUGAAAGUGUCUCAUGCUUCUUUCGGUGUCUUGUCAUCCAAAAUAUGCUCUAACAUCUCUUCUCCGAUUGUGGUCUUCAAGGAAAACAUUGUUUUGCCUGCUUUGAUUCUCCAUUUGUGCAAGACGCCGUUAGAAUCAUCCUCUGGCAGCGUAGUUUUGCACUCGCCAACGAUCUCCUAAAGAUCACGUCCUUGUAAAUAGGACAUCAUGCAUGUUGCCCACGUGUUGUAGUUUGUUAUUGAGUUUCUUGAUUCCUCCAAUGAUUUGGAAAUCA